rnacentral:lncRNA from 1 species
UAGUUACCAAGAGGAGGUAAUAUUUAUGCCAGUUUUUUCAUGGCAGGUCAAUUAUUUUGUUAGCACAGGCAACAGUGUAUUUGUAUUGUGCAACUCUUCCUAGGAACUGAACUGUGCUGGAGGACAGGAAAUCAUGGGAAGCAGGAGGACUUGAAUUAAGAGGAAGGGAUUUGUUUUUCUUGUGUUUGGAUACCAGUGCCUGUUGAGCUAGAGUGACAUACUGUACAAUCUGUGCUUCUCAUUAUGCAACUAAGCAAAAGGAAGACCUGCAAAAGAUUAAAGUAAAAUGCCCUUCAAUUCAGGAUCCGUGGGAACUCCUCUGCACUCCUGUGACUUCAUGCAGCUGCUGGCUGUCCAGUGCUAAUGCCACCUCUAGGGUGCCUAUUAGACCAGCAAGGUAAAGAACUUUAUUUUCAGUUUAAACCUCGUGAAAGAUGGGAGGAAUUGGUGAAAUUAUCAAAGAUUUUCAGUCUAAGAGAAAGUGUGCUCGACUAA